rnacentral:rRNA from 1 species
AGUGAACGCUGGCGGUAGGCCUAGCACAUGCAAGUCGAACGGCAGCACAGUAAGAGCUUGCUCUUACGGGUGGCGAGUGGCGGACGGGUGAGGAAUACAUCGGAAUCUACUUUUUCGUGGGGGGUAACGUAGGGAAACUUACGCUAAUACCGCAUACGACCUACGGGUGAAAGCAGGGGAUCUUCGGACCUUGCGCGAUUGAAUGAGCCGAUGUCGGAUUAGCUAGUUGGCGGGGUAAAGGCCCACCAAGGCGACGAUCCGUAGCUGGUCUGAGAGGAUGAUCAGCCACACUGGAACUGAGACACGGUCCAGACUCCUACGGGAGGCAGCAGUGGGGAAUAUUGGACAAUGGGCGCAAGCCUGCUCCAGCCAUACCGCGUGGGUGAAGAAGGCCUUCGGGUUGUAAAGCCCUUUUGUUGGGAAAGAAAAGUAGCAGGUUAAUACCCCGCUGUUCUGACGGUACCCAAAGAAUAAGCACCGGCUAACUUCGUG